rnacentral:rRNA from 1 species
GAUUCGUCACACUAUCAUUAACUGAAUCCAUAGGUUAAUGAGGCGAACCGGGGGAACUGAAACAUCUAAGUACCCCGAGGAAAAGAAAUCAACCGAGAUUCCCCCAGUAGCGGCGAGCGAACGGGGAGGAGCCCAGAGCCUGAAUCAGCAUGUGUGUUAGUGGAAGCGUCUGGAAAGGCGCGCGAUACAGGGUGACAGCCCCGUACACAAAAGCGCAUGUGCUGUGAGCUCGAUGAGUAGGGCGGGACACGUGGUAUCCUGUCUGAAUAUGGGGGGACCAUCCUCCAAGGCUAAAUACUCCUGACUGACCGAUAGUGAACCAGUACCGUGAGGGAAAGGCGAAAAGAACCCCGGCGAGGGGAGUGAAAAAGAACCUGAAACCGUGUACGUACAAGCAGUGGGAGCACCCUUCGGGGUGUGACUGCGUACCUUUUGUAUAAUGGGUCAGCGACUUAUAUUCUGUAGCAAGGUUAACCGUAUAGGGGAGCCGGAGGGAAACCGAGUCUUAAUUGGGCGUUAAGUUGCAGGGUAUAGACCCGAAACCCGGUGAUCUAGCCAUGGGCAGGUUGAAGGUUGGGUAACACUAACUGGAGGACCGAACCGACUAAUGUUGAAAAAUUAGCGGAUGACCUGUGGCUGGGGGUGAAAGGCCAAUCAAACCGGGAGAUAGCUGGUUCUCCCCGAAAGCUAUUUAGGUAGCGCCUCGUGAAUUCAUCUCCGGGGGUAGAGCACUGUUUCGGCUAGGGGGCCAUCCCGGCUUACCAACCCGAUGCAAACUGCGAAUACCGGAGAAUGUUAUCACGGGAGACACACGGCGGGUGCUAACGUCCGUCGUGAAGAGGGAAACAACCCAGACCGCCAGCUAAGGUCCCAAAGUCAUGGUUAAGUGGGAAACGAUGUGGGAAGGCCCAGACAGCCAGGAUGUUGGCUUAGAAGCAGCCAUCAUUUAAAGAAAGCGUAAUAGCUCACUGGUCGAGUCGGCCUGCGCGGAAGAUGUAACGGGGCUAAACCAUGCACCGAAGCUGCGGCAGCGAACGUAUCACCCAAGACAACUUUACGGAGUUGACGAUUGACGGAGCGAAGCGACGUCAAAGCGUUCAUUAAAGUCGAGUUGGCUUAGGGAUACGUUCGUUGGGUAGGGGAGCGUUCUGUAAGCCUGUGAAGGUGUGUCGUGAGGCAUGCUGGAGGUAUCAGAAGUGCGAAUGCUGACAUAAGUAACGAUAAAGCGGGUGAAAAGCCCGCUCGCCGGAAGACCAAGGGUUCCUGUCCAACGUUAAUCGGGGCAGGGUGAGUCGACCCCUAAGGCGAGGCCGAAAGGCGUAGUCGAUGGGAAACGGGUUAAUAUUCCCGUACUUGGUGUUACUGCGAAGGGGGGACGGAGAAGGCUAUGUUGGCCGGGCGACGGUUGUCCCGGUUUAAGCGUGUAGGUGUGUGUUCCAGGUAAAUCCGGUUCAC